GGCUGGUCCCAUAUAAUGGUGUUUACAACUAAUUGAUCAUAACUAGUUACAGAUUUCUUUGUUUCUUCGCCACUCCCACUGCUUCAUUUGACUAGCCCUAA
ensembl:misc_RNA Y_RNA Y RNA